CGUAAACCGACACAGGUAGUCAGCUCGAGUAGAGCAAGGCGAACGAAUGAGAGGUCUCCAAGGAACUCGGCAAAAAAGCGGCCGUAACUUCGGAAUAAGGCCUGCCUUGUGCGAAGCACAAGGAAAUUCUAAUUUCUAAUUUCUAAUUUCUAAACAAAUUCCAAAUUCUAAAAUUCAAAUCUCAAACGCGGUUGUUUGGGGCUUGUGAUUUCUGAUUUGUGUUUUGUUUAGGGUUUAGAGUUUAGUUUUUAGGAUUUCCUCGCGCUUCGCGCGAGGCCACAGCUAAAGUCUGCCUGGCGACUGUUUAUCAAAAACACAGCUCCCUGCGAACUCGUAAGAGAAUGUAUAGGGGGUGACACUUGACCAAUGCCAGAAGGUCAAAUAACGGCGGUGCUAUGGUCGCAAGAUUGUAGUGCUGACUGUUAUAAGCCCUGGUGAAUGUCGGCGAUAACUAUAAUCGUCCUAAGGUUUCAUUACGCAAUAUAUAUGACAAAGUGUCAAAUUGCGUAGUGAAAGGAUUGGGACGAUUAUGGGUAAAAAUUGAUAAACAAAAUUAAACUAUUCAAACAGUAAAAUAAGACGCUGCCCAUUUCGCAAAAGCGGAAUGUCCUAAACUAGCUAUAUGCUGGAAUAUCCGAGUAUCUUCAAGUACUCACAAGCUGUAGAAGUUUAACUUUUACAGGAGUAAAAAUCUUGAAGUGCGGACAAUCAGCAGGAAAGCUUGUGAACUUCAUUGAGGAAAAAUAAAAGAAAGGAGGUGUAUAUAUGGGUCCCACUAUUCUGUUCGGUGGACUAAGCUGGUUUGCAUACUGGUUUAUUUUCACUCCAACAAGCGUUGAUGGAAGAUCAACCCUUGUAUUGGUCACCGUCUUUUUGGCGGUGGUAGCAGUAAAAUGCGAUCAUUGGAUCGAAGAACGAAACAGCCGCCAAAACGGCAAAACUCGAUAAGAAUCACUAGAGGGCUCUCAUCGAGUCCUCGAAGUUCACAAGAAUCCUCAGAAACCAAACGCUAGCUCCGAUGUAAGUCGGAGAAGAUAGAGUUCGUCCUGCAUGGCGACAUNNNNNNNNNNNAUUCCUUAAAGAUAGGGACCAUCCGCCGUUGCGGAUGGAAAACUUGGCUAUAUGCUGGAACAUCCGGUGUAUCCAACAGUACCGAAAGGUAACAAUCUGUUGGUGCGGCCUAAUCCGUAAGAACGGACGGCCAACGGACAAUCAGCAGGAAAGAUCCGCCUUUUGCGGAAAUCCUCAACGACCAUACGCCAAGGCCGCUUCGGAAGCGGCAUGAUAUGGCCUGAACUGCAUGGCGACAUGCAGAGUUUGGCUCGCGCCAAACCGCCAAGCACAUUAUUGAUAGUGUGCUCGGUCACUUCCGCUUCUGUCGCGGAACACAAGUAACAGAUUGUGUCGGGUAAGUUCCGACGCGUUGAAUAGUGUAACGUCUGGGCAACUGUCUCGGAGACUCGUUCGGUGAAAAUACAAUACCGGUGAAGAUGCCGGUUACCUGCAGCUAGACGAAAAGACCCCGGAAGCUUUACUGCAACUUGGUAUUGCUUGUAUGUUUUAACUGCGUAGCGUAGGCGGGAGACUUUGAAGUCCUGAUCUCGGUCGGGAUGGAGUCGCCGAUGAAACACCGCUCUGUUGAAAUGUACCGGCUAACCUCGCCGGCAAAAACGGCGAGAGACAGUACCUGGCGGGCAGUUUUAGUGGGGCGCUACCCUUCUAAAGAGUAACGAAGGGGUCCAUCAAGGUCAGCUAGGCGCGAAUGGAAACCGUGCCGAUAGUGCAAUGGCAUAAGCUGGCCUCACUGUAAGGCGUAAGUGCCGAACAGACGCGAAAGCGGGGCAUAGUGAACCGACCGUUCGCAUUAGAUGCGGCGGAAGAUUAUCUGCUAAAAGCUACUCCGGGGAUGGACGCUGAAAUAAGCGUCUUGUUGUCCCUUCUAUCAGUAAUGAUAGAAUUAGUAUGCGGCUUAUAACGGUGGAGCGAGAAUCGGUCUUUCCUCAAAAGAGGUUUUCGUAUUCUCGUAAUACCGUGGGAAGUCCCACUACUUAAGUAAAGUGGGACCCCGUAACGACUGGAUUCGAGUCCCGCCAACAGGCGAGAUAAGAUGAAGAUAGUGGAUGCCCGAGUGCUCGAUGUUCGAAUAGCACCGCUAUAAUACGCCGCCUCCAGCCGUAAUUUUUGAUUGGGCUUUAAGGUUCAACCUUCUUCCCGAUUCAAGAUUGAACCUUGGAAUCAAAAAUUACGGCUGGAUGAAGAUAUAGUCUAAUUAUCGAAAGAUAAAUUGAACAGGCUAGUUCCGCCUAAGAGUCCAUAUCGACGGCGGAGUUCGGCACCU
rnacentral:rRNA from 1 species